AUCAUAAUAGGGUAAGGGGCCCAGUAGUCGACAGUACACCAGUAGUCGACACUUUCAACUUUGCGAUCGAUUUCCCGCGAAGAAGUUAACGUUAGAGUCUCGCGCGUUUUUCCGGGUUGUAGCGCGCUCUAUUGAGAUUAUAAUGAACCCAUUGCCGAUUCCGUGCCACCUCCGGGAGCCGGUUGGGAGCGCUUCGCACAGAAGACUGCUCGUCG